UGCCGGCGACCGGCGGACGGGUGCGUAACGCGUAUGUAACCUACCUUUGACAGGGGGAUAACAUCGAGAAAUUGGUACUAAUACCCCAUAACAUCACCGGAGGCAUCUUCGGUGGUUGAAAACUCAGGUGGUCAGAGAUGGACAUGCGUUGUAUUAGCUAGUUGGUGAGGUAACGGCUCACCAAGGCGACGAUACAUAGGGGGACUGAGAGGUCAACCCCCACAUUGGUACUGAGACACGGACCAAACUCCUACGGGAGGCAGCAG
rnacentral:rRNA from 1 species